GCGGUAGUGGUGGAAUUUGGUAGACACGCUAGCUUGAGGUGCUAGUGGGCUAACGCUUGUGCUGGUUCAAGUCCAGUCUACCGCA
rnacentral:tRNA from 2 species